rnacentral:rRNA from 1 species
GACGAACGCUGGCGGCGUGCUUAACACAUGCAAGUCGAACGAUGAACCGGUUUCGGCCGGGGAUUAGUGGCGAACGGGUGAGUAACACGUGGGCAAUCUGCCCUGCACUCUGGGAUAAGCCCGGGAAACUGGGUCUAAUACCGGAUACGACACUCCGAGGCAUCUUGGGGUGUGGAAAGUUCCGGCGGUGCAGGAUGAGCCCGCGGCCUAUCAGCUUGUUGGUGGGGUAAUGGCCUACCAAGGCGACGACGGGUAGCCGGCCUGAGAGGGUGACCGGCCACACUGGGACUGCGACACGGCCCAGACUCCUACGGGAGGCAGCAGUGGGGAAUAUUGCACAAUGGGCGAAAGCCUGAUGCAGCGACGCCGCGUGAGGGAUGACGGCCUUCGGGUUGUAAACCUCUUUCAGCAGGGAAGAAGCGAAAGUGACGGUACCUGCAGAAGAAGCACCGGCUAACUACGUG